UCAAGUUUGUUAAAAUGAGGGACAACGCCCUUCUCCAAGAGGAGGAAAUAGCGAAAAUACACUGACAAAUUCUAAAAUUCUUCUCCAGAACCAGCAGUCCAAUUUUAAUCAAACUUGGUACAAAUUCUCUUUGGGUAAAGGGGAUUUAAGUUAGUUCAAAUGAAAAACUGUACCCACUUCAAAAGGGAGAUAAUCAUAAAAAUGCAAAAUAGAAUGUGGUCAUUUAAAUAUCUUCUGAAGAACCACUGGGCCAGAAAAGUUCAAAUUUACAUGGAAGCUUUCUGACAUAGUGCAAAUUUACGUUUGUAACAAUCAUGAUCUUCGGCGGUAAGGUUAGGGUUAGGCCACAAUAAGAAGUUUUACAAGCGAAUAUAUAGGAAAAUCUUUAAAACAUUCUUCUGAAGAACCUUUGGACCAGAGAAGUUUAUAUUUGCAUGGCAGCGUACUCACAUAGUGCAGAUUCAAGUGGGUUUUUUUUUCAAAACCGUGACCCCCGUGGUAGGUUGGGGUCACAAUAGGGAAUCAAAAUUUUACAGGGGAAUAUAUAGGGAAAAUCUUUAAAUAUGGUUGAAGGUGACUCAGGUGAACGAUGUGGCCGAUGGGCCUCUUGUUUGAAAUUUUAAUUGAUUUUUUUGGUUGCUCAGUGGUAGAGCUUAUGCUUUGUGAUCGGAGGUCGUGAACUCGAUCGAGCCCCGUUCGUUCCAUGGCCAUGUUAAACGUAAGACGUAAAAAUACUAUAGAGGUUACCCCUUCGCUGAACCCUCCGAAUGAGGAACCGGCUCCGGUUAUCUUUUCAUUAGGGGGCGCCACAGACAAACUCGGCCCUGAAUCGGAAUACCCUCGCGCUUUAUCUGUAGUUACCGAUCGAAGAAAAACGUAAACAAUCUGCUGUCAAACACAUCCUUUUGAAACAUGUCCGGAACUUGCUGUUGUGUGCCGUAUUGUUGUAAUAGGGGUGGUCAUCAUGUAUUUCCAUCAGACUCGUUAAGAAGAAAAGCCUGGAUUCACGCAAUUAAACGUGGUGAAACUCGUUUUCAAAGCUGUACUCCGUCAACUUUUCCUGUUGUUUGCAGAGCGCAUUUUAUAUCGGACGACUAUUUGACUGAAACUGAACAUGGAAUGACUCCUGUGCUACUGUGAUAGAGGACAGAAAGAUAUCCAGCAAACGUGUACACAUUGAAAGAAUUAUUGGACUUGCCAAAACUUUCAAAAUACUGACAGAACCUAUGAAUAGCUCUGAAACAAAACUUUCCUGUAAAAUUAUUUAUGUCUGUUUUAAGAAUUGCAUAGUGCCGUCUUAUGCAUAAUUCACCAUUAAAAAUUGAUGUGAUUAAAGAAUAAACCUUUA